rnacentral:rRNA from 1 species
GACGAACGCUGGCGGCGUGCUUAACACAUGCAAGUCGAACGGAAAGGCCCUGCUUUUGUGGGGUGCUCGAGUGGCGAACGGUGUGAGUAACACGUGAGUAACCUGCCCUUGACUUUGGGAUAACUUCAGGAAACUGGGGCUAAUACCGGAUAGGAGCUCCUGCUGCAUGGUGGGGGUUGGAAAGUUUCGGCGGUUGGGGAUGGACUCGCGGCUUAUCAGCUUGUUGGUGGGGUAGUGGCUUACCAAGGCUUUGACGGGUAGCCGGCCUGAGAGGGUGACCGGCCACAUUGGGACUGAGAUACGGCCCAGACUCCUACGGGAGGCAGCAGUGGGGAAUAUUGCACAAUGGGCGGAAGCCUGAUGCAACAACGCCGCGUGCGGGAUGACGACCUUCGGGUUGUAAACCGCUUUCGCCUGUGACGAAUCGUGAGUGACGGUAAUGGGUAAAGAAGCACCGGCUAACUACGUGCCACCAGCCGCGGUGAUACGUAGGGUGCGAGCGUUGUCCGGAUUUAUUGGGCGUAAAGGGCUCGUAGGUGGUUGAUCACGUCGGAAGUGUAAUCUUGGGGCUUAACCCUGAGCGUGCUUUCGAUACGGGUUGACUUGAGGAAGGUAGGGGAGAAUGGAAUUCCUGGUGGAGCGGUGGAAUGCGCAGAUAUCAGGAGGAACACCAGUGGCGAAGGCGGUUCUCUGGGCCUUUCCUGACGCUGAGGAGCGAAAGCGUGGGGAGCGAACAGGCUUAGAUACCCUGGUAGUCCACGCUGUAAACGGUGGGUACUAGGUGUGGGGUCCAUUCCACGGGUUCCGUGCCGUAGCUAACGCUUUAAGUACCCCGCCUGGGGAGUACGGCCGCAAGGCUAAAACUCAAAGGAAUUGACGGGGCCCCGCACAAGCGGCGGAGCAUGCGGAUUAAUUCGAUGCAACGCGUAGAACCUUACCUGGGUUUGACAUGGAUCGGGAGCGCUCAGAGAUGGGUGUGCCUCUUUUGGGGUCGGUUCACAGGUGGUGCAUGGCUGUCGUCAGCUCGUGUCGUGAGAUGUUGGGUUAAGUCCCGCAACGAGCGCAACCCUUGUUCACUGUUGCCAGCACGUUAUGGUGGGGACUCAGUGGAGACCGCCGGGGUCAACUCGGAGGAAGGUGGGGAUGACGUCAAGUCAUCAUGCCCCUUAUGUCCAGGGCUUCACGCAUGCUACAAUGGCUGGUACAGAGAGUGGCGAGCCUGUGAGGGUGAGCGAAUCUCGGAAAGCCGGUCUCAGUUCGGAUUGGGGUCUGCAACUCGACCUCAUGAAGUCGGAGUCGCUAGUAAUCGCAGAUCAGCAACGCUGCGGUGAAUACGUUCCCGGG